UACGGAGGGUCCAAGCGUUGUCCGGAAUCACUGGGUGUAAAGGGCGCGUAGGCGGACUCGUAAGUCAGGGGUGAAAGCCCGCGGCUCAACCGCGGAACUGCCUCUGAUACUGCGAGCCUUGAGUCCUGGAGGGGCUGGCGGAAUUCGUGGUGUAGCGGUGAAAUGCGUAGAUAUCACGAGGAACACCGGAGGUGUAGACGGCCAGCUGGACAGGUACUGACGCUGAGGCACGAAAGCGUGGGGAGCGAACAGG
rnacentral:rRNA from 1 species